GACGAACGCUGGCGGCGUGCCUAACACAUGCAAGUCGAGCGGAGUCGAUCGACGGAAGCCUUCGGGCGGAAGAUGGUUGACUUAGCGGCGGAUGGGUGAGUAACGCGUGGGCAACCUGCCUCGAAGACCGGGAUAACAGCCCGAAAGGGCUGCUAAUACCGGAUGUGGUCAAGGAUCCGCAUGGAUUUUUGAUUAAAGGGGAAACCCGUUUCGAGAUGGGCCCGCGUCCUAUCAGCUAGUUGGUGAGGUAAAAGCUCACCAAGGCGACGACGGGUAGCCGGCCUGAGAGGGUGACCGGCCACACUGGAACUGAGACACGGUCCAGACUCCUACGGGGGCAGCAGUGGGAAUCUUCCACAAUGGGCGAAAGCCUGAUGGAGCGACGCCGCGUGAGCGAAGAAGGCCUUCGGGUUGUAAAGCUCUGUCUGGAGGGACGAAGGAAGUGACGGUACCUCCGGAGGAAGCCACGGCUAACUACGUG
rnacentral:rRNA from 1 species